rnacentral:rRNA from 1 species
UACGUAGGGGGCAAGCGUUGUUCGGAUUUAUUGGGCGUAAAGAGCUCGUAGGUGGUUCGGUAAGUCGGAUGUGAAAUCUCCAGGCUCAACCUGGAGGGGUCAUUCGAUACUGCCGUGACUAGAGGUCGGUAGGGGAGUGUGGAAUUCCUGGUGGAGCGGUGAAAUGCGCAGAUAUCAGGAAGAACACCCGUGGCGAAGGCGGCUCUCUGGGACGGUACUGACGCUGAGACGCGAAAGCGUGGGGAGCGAACAGG